GACAGAGGGUGCAAACGUUGUUCGGAAUUACUGGGCGUAAAGCGAGUGUAGGCGGUUCGAUAAGUCGGAUGUGAAAGCCCCGGGCUCAACCCGGGAAGUGCACUCGAUACUGUCGAGCUAGAGUAUCGGAGAGGUUGGUGGAAUUCUCGGUGUAGAGGUGAAAUUCGUAGAUAUCGAGAGGAACACCGGUGGCGAAGGCGGCCAACUGGACGAAUACUGACGCUGAGACUCGAAAGCGUGGGGGAGCAAACAGG
rnacentral:rRNA from 1 species